AUGCUUACCUGGCAGGGGAGAUACCAUUAUCGCGAAGGGGUUUUCCCAGGGCGAGGCUUAUCCAUCGCACUCCAGAUGUGGGAAACUCGACUGCAUAAUUUGAGGCAGUGGGGGACGUGUUUGUGCUUUCCCCUG
rnacentral:snRNA from 1 species